UACGUAGGGUGCAAGCGUUAAUCGGAAUUACUGGGCGUAAAGCGUGCGCAGGCGGUUGUGUAAGACAGAUGUGAAAUCCCCGGGCUCAACCUGGGAACUGCAUUUGUGACUGCACGGCUCGAGUGCGGCAGAGGGGGAUGGAAUUCCGCGUGUAGCAGUGAAAUGCGUAGAGAUGCGGAGGAACACCGAUGGCGAAGGCAGCCCCCUGGGCUAACACUGACGCUCAGGCACGAAAGCGUGGGGAGCAAACAGG
rnacentral:rRNA from 1 species